rnacentral:rRNA from 1 species
GGAUGCGAUCGUACCAGCACUAAAGCAUCGGAUCCCAUCAGAACUCCGAAGUUAAGCGUGCUUGGGCGAGAGUAGUACUAGGAUGGGUGACCUCCUGGGAAGUCCUCGUGUUGCAUUCC